ACAGCAUAUGAUCUGUAGAAUAAGAAAUCACUCCUUCUCUCAGCACGACAGAUAAAAAUUCUGGAGGAGACAGAUCUUCUCUUGAUGGAAUAGGCUUGCGUGGGUAGAUGGUGGAGUCGAUCAGAGUCGCAGAAACACUGAAUCUUAAGUAGAAGGAAUAGGAUAGAAAGUGGACCUCACACCCUCCCCUUGUGGGGCGAUUUUGGGUCUCACACCCUCUCCCUCUCGGAGCGAUUGACACAAGUAUUUAUGGAGUUUAUAAAAUUAUUCAUUCUUUUUUCAUGAAAGAUACAAGGAUUUAUAUAGGACUCUAAGGGUCCUGUUUGUUUAGGAAUCUCUUAUCUUUACAAGGAAGAAAUCAACCCUCCACAAAAAAGUAAAGCAUUAUAAUCUACCAUAGGAAAGAAAUUAGCCUACAACAAAAUAAGUAGCCAAGAACUCUUAAGGAAUUCUAAGGAAGAAAUGGAACUCCAUGUGGGUGCUUGAUGCUUGACACAAUUUGGUAUGAGCACGGCACAUGCUGGCAUGCAUAUUUCUUCUCUUGGCAUGUGGAGAGUGGUGGCUCCAAAGGUGACGUGGACAAAUUCAAG
rnacentral:lncRNA from 1 species